rnacentral:lncRNA from 1 species
GUACAGGCACAUUGUCUGUGCAGGCACAUGUGGAGGCCAGAGACUGACAUGGAGUGUCUUCCUUUUUUUUUUUUUUUUUUUUUUUUUUUUUUUUAGGACCAGUGAUAUCCAGGGGUCUCUGUGUGUCCACUACACACCCAACCCCCACCUCUGCCCCCAAGUCUAGCUUUUCACAUGGGGAUGUGAACUCGGGUCCUCAUGCUUGUGAAACAAGCACUUUGCUCACUGAGCAAUUCCUCCGUCUCUCAUGGUGUCUUUUUCACGCCGAGCAGCAGCAAAGGAGACAGCCACAUACAGUUGCUAUCACACUGGAGAGCGUCUCCCUUUCUGGCAGGGAGGAGUGAUCCUCAGAGAGGAAGCUGCCAGAACCUGGGUACAUUGCUGGAUAAGGAAUAUAGAAGGCCGGGGAAGGAGCCAGGCACUUGGCAUUCUCCAGUUGGAUGAGCAUGGCCAGCUGCUGGAUGAAGCCAAGUCAUGGGGGAAGCUCUAGUUGGGGUUCCUCUUGCAACAGUCACAGCUUUCUGUUUCUCCAGAGGACAAGAGGCUACUGGAUGCUCACUUAACUUCUCCUGGCAACAAAAGUCUACAGUAGAGUGUGGGAAUAGCUCCUGUCCUCCUGGGGGCUUCCUGGGGUACUGCUAGUGGUGAAGUCUCUCUUUGAGGCUGGACCAGAAGGGUUGCUCUCAUACAAGAGCAGUAUGAGAGUAAUUCUCAUACACUCAGAAUUCUCUCCCAUCAGACUUCUCAAAAUGACAAAGAGAAGAAAUUCUGGGCCUAAAAUUGUGGAAUCUAAAUCAUGAUUUGAUGCCAGGGACUAAUGUAAAUCUUUA